rnacentral:rRNA from 1 species
GACGAACCGUGCGAACGUUAUUCGGAAUACUGGGCUUAAAAGAGCAUGUAGGCGGAUCGGAACGUCCGUGGCUGAAAGCCCCCGCUAACCGGGGAAGUGGCGCGGAUACGACCGAUCUCGAGGGGGGGUAGGGGGGACCUGGAACUUCCGGUGGAGCGGUGAAAUGCGUUGAGAUCGGAAGGAACGCCCGUGGCGAAAGCGAGG